AGUGGCGAACGGGUGAGUAAUACAUCGGAACAUGUCCUGUAGUGGGGGAUAGCCCGGCGAAAGCCGGAUUAAUACCGCAUACGAUCUGAGGAUGAAAGCGGGGGACCUUCGGGCCUCGCGCUAUAGGGUUGGCCGAUGGCUGAUUAGCUAGUUGGUGGGGUAAAGGCCUACCAAGGCGACGAUCAGUAGCUGGUCUGAGAGGACGGCCAGCCACACUGGGACUGAGACACGGCCCAGACUCCUACGGGAGGCAGCAGUGGGGAAUUUUGGACAAUGGGCGAAAGCCUGAUCCAGCAAUGCCGCGUGUGUGAAGAAGGCCUUCGGGUUGUAAAGCACUUUUGUCCGGAAAGAAAUCCUUGGUUCUAAUAUAGCCGGGGGAUGACGGUACCGGAAGAAUAAGCACCGGCUAACUACGUGCCAGCAGCCGCGGUAAUACGUAGGGUGCAAGCGUUAAUCGGAAUUACUGGGCGUAAAGCGUGCGCAGGCGGUUUGCUAAGACCGAUGUGAAAUCCCCGGGCUCAACCUGGGAACUGCAUUGGUGACUGGCAGGCUAGAGUAUGGCAGAGGGGGGUAGAAUUCCACGUGUAGCAGUGAAAUGCGCAGAGAUGUGGAGGAAUACCGAUGGCGAANGCAGCCCCCUGGGCCAAUACUGACGCUCAUGCACGAAAGCGUGGGGAGCANACAGGAUUAGAUACCCUGGUAGUCCACGCCCUAAACGAUGUCAACUAGUUGUUGGGGAUUCAUUUCCUUAGUAACGUAGCUAACGCGUGAAGUUGACCGCCUGGGGNGUACGGUCGCAAGAUUAAAACUCAAAGGAAUUGACNGGG
rnacentral:rRNA from 1 species